rnacentral:rRNA from 1 species
ACGGCUCAGUAACACGCGGACAAUCUGCCCUUGGAUGGGGAACAAUCUCGGGAAACUGAGCAUAAUACCCCAUAGGUAUAGGGAUCUGGAAUGACCCUAUGCCGAAAGCUCAGGCGUCCAAGGAUGAGUCUGCGGCCUAUCAGGUAGUAGUGGGUGUAACGGACCCACUAGCCUUCGACGGGUACGGGCCUUGAGAGAGGUAGCCCGGAGAUGGACUCUGAGACACGAGUCCAGGCCCUACGGGGCGCAGCAGGCGCGAAAACUUCGCAAUGUGGGAAACCACGACGAGGGGAUUCCAAGUGCUUAUGCAAAGCAUAAGCUGUUCAUGUGCCUAAAAAGCACUUGAAGUAAGGGCUGGGUAAGACGGGUGCCAGCCGCCGCGGUAAUACCCGCAGCCCAAGUGGUGAUCGCUAUUAUUGAGCCUAAAGCGUCCGUAGCCGGUCUGAUAAAUCUUUGGGUAAAUCGGGCAGCUCAACUGUCCGAAUUCCGAGGAGACUGUCAGACUUGGGACCGGGAGAGGUCAGAGGUACUCCGGGGGUAGGGGUGAAAUCCUGUAAUCCUCGGGGGACCACCGGUGGCGAAGGCGUCUGACCAGAACGGAUCCGACGGUAAGGGACGAAGCCCUGGGGCGCAAACCGGAUUAGAUACCCGGGUAGUCCAGGGUGUAAACGCUGCAGGCUUGGUGUCGGGGGUCCUACGAGGGCACUCGGUGCCGGAGAGAAGUUGUUAGGCCUGCCGCUUGGGGAGUACGCUCGCAAGAGUGAAACUUAAAGGAAUUGGCGGGGGAGCACAGCAACGGGAGGAGCGUGCGGUUCAAUUGGAUUCAACGCCGGG